AUGUUAGGAGUACUGGGACGAUUCCGCGGAGCCGGGCAGAGGUUUUAGGGGAAUGAUUAACAAAGGCGUCCGAAGAAAUCGUUGUUGGAAGGUGACCAAGGUGGAAAGAGACGUUGCUUUGGCCCUGCAAGUAAGAAGAGAGAGGGAAUAGCCUGAAGGAGUAACACUAAAUUUAAAAUGACACUUUUUUACCAACCAGCGAAAGCAGAUGUUCAAAGGGGAUAUUGGCCAGAGUCUGUCACACUAAGAUGAGAAAUGUCCUUUCUUCCUGAAGGUGUCUGAUGUGUAAAAAUAUGAUAUACUUUGUGCUGUUUCCUCCCUUCCCUUUUGCAUAUUAUUCUGAAACAACAUUAACUAGUUACUUUGCGUCAUUGAAGAACUCACUUUGAGGCCAAGCGUGGUUGCUCAGGCCUGUAAUCCCAGCACUUUGGGAGGCCGAGGCAGGUGGAUCACCUGAGGUCAGGAGUUGGAGACCAGCCUGGCCAACACGACAAACCCCGUCUCUACUAAAAAUACAAAAAUUAGCCUGGCAUGGUGGCACACACCUGUAAUUCCAGCUGCUCGGGAGGCUGAAGCAUGAGAAUCACUUGAACCUGGGAGGCAGAGGUUGCAGUGAGCCAAGGUUGCAGUGGAUCAAGAUCACACCACUGCACUCCAGCCUGGGCAAUAGAGUGAGACUCUGUCUCAAGAAGAAGAAAAAGAAAAAAAACUCACUUUAAACUCUGCUA
rnacentral:lncRNA from 1 species